AACGAACGCUGGCGGCAUGCCUAACACAUGCAAGUCGAACGAGACCUUCGGGUCUAGUGGCGCACGGGUGCGUAACGCGUGGGAACCUGCCCUUAGGUUCGGAAUAACUCCCCGAAAGGGGUGCUAAUACCGGAUAAUGUCUUCGGACCAAAGAUUUAUCGCCUUUGGAUGGGCCCGCGUUGGAUUAGCUAGUUGUAGGGUAAAAGCCUACCAGGGCGACGAUCCAUAGCUGGUCUGAGAGGAUGAUCAGCCACACUGGGACUGAGACACGGCCCAGACUCCUACGGGAGGCAGCAGUGGGGAAUAUUGGACAAUGGGCGAAAGCCUGAUCCAGCAAUGCCGCGUGAGUGAUGAAGGCCUUAGGGUUGUAAAGCUCUUUUACCCGGGAUGAUAAUGACAGUACCGGGAGAAUAAGCUCCGGCUAACUCCGUG
rnacentral:rRNA from 1 species